AUUGAACGCUGGCGGCAGGCUUAACACAUGCAAGUCGAACGAGUGGCGGACGGGUGAGUAAUGCUUGGGAAUCUAGCUUUUGGAGGGGGAUAACUACGGGAAACUGUCGCUAAUACCGCGUUCCAUAGGAUGAGCCCAAGUGGGAUUAGGUAGUUGGUGAGGUAAAGGCUAACCAAGCCGACGAUCUCUAGCUGGUCUGAGGGGAUGACCAGCAACAUUGGGACUGAGAACCGGCCAAGACUCGUACGGGAGGAAGCAGUGGGGAAUAGUGGACAAUGGGCGCAAGCCGGAUGCAGCAAUGCCGCGGGGAUAAAGCAGGCCUUCGGGUUGAAAAGUACGUUAAGUGGGGAGGCGUUACCGAAAGAAGAAGCACCGGCUAACUCCGUGCCAGCCGCCGCGGUAAUAC
rnacentral:rRNA from 1 species